GACCCAAAGUGAGUCUUGGCCUCCGAUACAAGAACUCGCCAUUUUCCUCGGUCCUGUGCUGUGUCCUGCCAGUCGCUAGCCUGCAGCUCGCGCAGGUCGGCUAGCACCACGUCCCGCCAUCGAUACCGGGGCCGCCCGACUGGGCGUCUACCCGACGGCUGACCUUGAUAGGCUCUCUUUGCGCCGCGAUCCUCUCCUAUUCGUUCCAAGUGACCGAGCCAGCGGAGUCUGUGUGCUUUGGUCUCUCCAAUAAUAUUCGGGUCCUCCACGAGUUCUUCAAUUUCAGCGUUUUUUAGGAUCCUCCAGCUUCCAUCGCUACGUUGCUUUUGGCCAAGAAUCUUGCGGAGAAUUUUCCUUUCAGCCACCAGAAGCUUGUUUUCUUCUUUAAGCGUGAGCGAUCAGGCCUCGCACCCAUACAUCAAAAUCGGUCUUAUUAUGGUUUUGUAGAUGCGAAGUUUCGUACUUUUACUGAGAAGCCUGGACGUCAACACUUUAUGUAGUGCUGCGCUGCAUCGAAAGGCGUUUUGGACACGGAUGUUUUGAACUUAACCACACCUUUAUACUGAAUAUUUCCAACCUUCAAGUCAUACUUUACACAGCUCUUUGUAAUUAUGUAUUAGACAGUGACAGCAUAUAUUUUAAACCACAAGUAGCCAUUAUCCAGACAUUGUGGAACAAGCCCUAAGUACCUAGAUAAUAUUUGCUUUUACUCUGCACUAAAAAAGGCGAUUCUCAUCAAUAGGUUCAGCGCCAGUAACAACGUACGAAUAUUUGAUGAAUUUCCACUAUGUUCCGGACACUGGGGUACAAAAAUCUGUAGAAAUAAUAAAUGAAAUAGAAGACCAAGAAAUUGUACCAUUGGAAGAUAACCAACCUUUUUCUAACGAGGAGAACCAACUUGCAGAAGAUGAUGAAUAUGAAUAUAAUCAUACUUCGCAAAUGCAGAGGCAAAAAGCGAAAACAUCCGAAUACCGUCGACCGACGACCCAGAAAGAACCCCGUUACCAAAUUGAUGAUUAUUAAUUGUAUAAAAAAAAUAUUAUAUAUAACUAAGUAGCUACUUAUAUAGUGUUGA